UUGACCUCGGAUCAGGUAGGGAUACCCGCUGAACUUAAGCAUAUCAAUAAGCGGAGGAAAAGAAACCAACCGGGAUUGCCCC
rnacentral:rRNA from 2 species